AAUCUGCGAUAAGCGUCGGUGAGGUGAUAUGAACCGUUAUAACCGGCGAUUUCCGAAUGGGGAAACCCAGUGUGUUUCGACACACUAUCAUUAACUGAAUCCAUAGGUUAAUGAGGCGAACCGGGGGAACUGAAACAUCUAAGUACCCCGAGGAAAAGAAAUCAACCGAGAUUCCCCCAGUAGCGGCGAGCGAACGGGGAGGAGCCCAGAGCCUGAAUCAGUGUGUGUGUUAGUGGAAGCGUCUGGAAAGGCGCGCGAUACAGGGUGACAGCCCCGUACACAAAAAUGCACAUAUUGUGAGCUCGAUGAGUAGGGCGGGACACGUGGUAUCCUGUCUGAAUAUGGGGGGACCAUCCUCCAAGGCUAAAUACUCCUGACUGACCGAUAGUGAACCAGUACCGUGAGGGAAAGGCGAAAAGAACCCCGGCGAGGGGAGUGAAAAAGAACCUGAAACCGUGUACGUACAAGCAGUGGGAGCCUCUUAAUGGGGUGACUGCGUACCUUUUGUAUAAUGGGUCAGCGACUUAUAUUCUGUAGCAAGGUUAACCGAAUAGGGGAGCCGAAGGGAAACCGAGUCUUAACUGGGCGUUAAGUUGCAGGGUAUAGACCCGAAACCCGGUGAUCUAGCCAUGGGCAGGUUGAAGGUUGGGUAACACUAACUGGAGGACCGAACCGACUAAUGUUGAAAAAUUAGCGGAUGACUUGUGGCUGGGGGUGAAAGGCCAAUCAAACCGGGAGAUAGCUGGUUCUCCCCGAAAGCUAUUUAGGUAGCGCCUCGUGAAUUCAUCUCCGGGGGUAGAGCACUGUUUCGGCAAGGGGGUCAUCCCGACUUACCAACCCGAUGCAAACUGCGAAUACCGGAGAAUGUUAUCACGGGAGACACACGGCGGGUGCUAACGUCCGUCGUGAAGAGGGAAACAACCCAGACCGCCAGCUAAGGUCCCAAAGUCAUGGUUAAGUGGGAAACGAUGUGGGAAGGCCCAGACAGCCAGGAUGUUGGCUUAGAAGCAGCCAUCAUUUAAAGAAAGCGUAAUAGCUCACUGGUCGAGUCGGCCUGCGCGGAAGAUGUAACGGGGCUAAACCAUGCACCGAAGCUGCGGCAGCGACACUAUGUGUUGUUGGGUAGGGGAGCGUUCUGUAAGCCUGUGAAGGUGGCCUGUGAGGGUUGCUGGAGGUAUCAGAAGUGCGAAUGCUGACAUAAGUAACGAUAAAGCGGGUGAAAAGCCCGCUCGCCGGAAGACCAAGGGUUCCUGUCCAACGUUAAUCGGGGCAGGGUGAGUCGACCCCUAAGGCGAGGCCGAAAGGCGUAGUCGAUGGGAAACAGGUUAAUAUUCCUGUACUUGGUGUUACUGCGAAGGGGGGACGGAGAAGGCUAUGUUGGCCGGGCGACGGUUGUCCCGGUUUAAGCGUGUAGGCUGGUUUUCCAGGCAAAUCCGGAAAAUCAAGGCUGAGGCGUGAUGACGAGGCACUACGGUGCUGAAGCGACAAAUGCCCUGCUUCCAGGAAAAGCCUCUAAGCAUCAGGUAACAUCAAAUCGUACCCCAAACCGACACAGGUGGUCAGGUAGAGAAUACCAAGGCGCUUGAGAGAACUCGGGUGAAGGAACUAGGCAAAAUGGUGCCGUAACUUCGGGAGAAGGCACGCUGAUAUGUAGGUGAAGCGACUUGCUCGUGGAGCUGAAAUCAGUCGAAGAUACCAGCUGGCUGCAACUGUUUAUUAAAAACACAGCACUGUGCAAACACGAAAGUGGACGUAUACGGUGUGACGCCUGCCCGGUGCCGGAAGGUUAAUUGAUGGGGUUAGCGGUAACGCGAAGCUCUUGAUCGAAGCCCCGGUAAACGGCGGCCGUAACUAUAACGGUCCUAAGGUAGCGAAAUUCCUUGUCGGGUAAGUUCCGACCUGCACGAAUGGCGUAAUGAUGGCCAGGCUGUCUCCACCCGAGACUCAGUGAAAUUGAACUCGCUGUGAAGAUGCAGUGUACCCGCGGCAAGACGGAAAGACCCCGUGAACCUUUACUAUAGCUUGACACUGAACAUUGAGCCUUGAUGUGUAGGAUAGGUGGGAGGCUUUGAAGUGUGGACGCCAGUCUGCAUGGAGCCGACCUUGAAAUACCACCCUUUAAUGUUUGAUGUUCUAACGUGGGCCCCUUACCGGGGUUGCGGACAGUGUCUGGUGGGUAGUUUGACUGGGGCGGUCUCCUCCUAAAGAGUAACGGAGGAGCACGAAGGUUGGCUAAUCCUGGUCGGACAUCAGGAGGUUAGUGCAAUGGCAUAAGCCAGCUUGACUGCGAGCGUGACGGCGCGAGCAGGUGCGAAAGCAGGUCAUAGUGAUCCGGUGGUUCUGAAUGGAAGGGCCAUCGCUCAACGGAUAAAAGGUACUCCGGGGAUAACAGGCUGAUACCGCCCAAGAGUUCAUAUCGACGGCGGUGUUUGGCACCUCGAUGUCGGCUCAUCACAUCCUGGGGCUGAAGUAGGUCCCAAGGGUAUGGCUGUUCGCCAUUUAAAGUGGUACGCGAGCUGGGUUUAGAACGUCGUGAGACAGUUCGGUCCCUAUCUGCCGUGGGCGCUGGAGAACUGAGGGGGGCUGCUCCUAGUACGAGAGGACCGGAGUGGACGCAUCACUGGUGUUCGGGUUGUCAUGCCAAUGGCACUGCCCGGUAGCUAAAUGCGGAAGAGAUAAGUGCUGAAAGCAUCUAAGCACGAAACUUGCCCCGAGAUGAGUUCUCCCUGACUCCUUGAGAGUCCUGAAGGAACGUUGAAGACGACGACGUUGAUAGGCCGGGUGUGUAAGCGCAGCGAUGCGUUGAGCUAACCGGUACUAAUGAACCGUGAGGCUUAACCUU
rnacentral:rRNA from 1 species